AAUUCGACGCAACGCGCAGAACCUUACCUUAGCUUGACAUCCCGGGAAUUUGCUGGAAACAGUGAAGUGCUUUCAUUAGAAGAGCCCGGUGACAGGUGCUGCAUGGCUGUCGUCAGCUCGUGUCGUGAGAUUGUUGGGUUAAGUCCCGCAACGAGCGCAACCCUCGCCUUUAGUUGCCAGCAUUCAGUUGGGCACUCUAAGGGACUGCCGGUGUCAAACCGGAGGAAGGUGGGAUGACGUCAAGUCCUCAUGGCCUUUAUGUCUAGGGCUACACACGUACUACAAUGGCAGGUACAAAGGGCAGCGACACAGCGAUGUGAUGCGAAUCCCGAAAAGCCUGUCUCAGUCCGGAUCGGAGUCUGCAACUCGACUCCGUGAAGUUGGAAUCGCUAGUAAUCGUGGAUCAGCAUGCCACGGUGAAUACGUUCCCGGGCCUU
rnacentral:rRNA from 1 species